UGUAUCGGAACGUGCCCAGUCGUGGGGGAUAACUGCUCGAAAGAGCAGCUAAUACCGCAUACGACCUGAGGGUGAAAGCGGGGGAUCGCAAGACCUCGCGCGAUUGGAGCGGCCGAUAUCAGAUUAGGUAGUUGGUGAGGUAAAGGCUCACCAAGCCGACGAUCUGUAGCUGGUCUGAGAGGACGACCAGCCACACUGGGACUGAGACACGGCCCAGACUCCUACGGGAGGCAGCAGUGGGGAAUUUUGGACAAUGGGCGCAAGCCUGAUCCAGCCAUGCCGCGUGCGGGAAGAAGGCCUUCGGGUUGUAAACCGCUUUUGUCAGGGAAGAAAAGGUUCUGGCUAAUACCUGGGACUCAUGACGGUACCUGAAGAAUAAGCACCGGCUAACUACGUG
rnacentral:rRNA from 1 species